UCCCGGUUAACCCGGGCAGUCUCACUAGAGUUCCCACCAUUACGUGUUGGCAACUAGUGAUAAGGGUUGCGCUCGUUGCGGGACUUAACCCAACACCUCACGGCACGAGCUGACGACAGCCAUGCAGCACCUGUGCAGCGGUACCGAAGUAAGGCGCCAUCUCUGGCGCUGUCCACUGCAUGUCAAGCCUGGGUAAGGUUCUUCGCGUUGCAUCGAAUUAAACCACAUGCUCCACUGCUUGUGCGGGUCCCCGUCAAUUCUUUUGAGUUUCACCCUUGCGAGCGUACUUCCCAGGCGGUAUACUUAACGCGUUUGCUACGGCACAGCCAGGGUUGAGUCCAGCUACACCAAGUAUACAUCGUUUACGGCAAGGACUAC
rnacentral:misc_RNA from 1 species